UCCUACGGGAGGCAGCAGUGGGGAAUAUUGCACAAUGGGCGAAAGCCUGAUGCAGCCAUGCCGCGUGUGUGAAGAAGGCCUUCGGGUUGUAAAGCACUUUCAGUUGUGAGGAAAGGUGUGUGGUUAAUACUCCGCAUACUGUGACGUUAGCAACAGAAGAAGCACCGGCUAACUCCGUGCCAGCAGCCGCGGUAAUACGGAGGGUGCAAGCGUUAAUCGGAAUUACUGGGCGUAAAGCGCACGCAGGCGGUUUGUUAAGCUAGAUGUGAAAGCCCCGCGCUCAACGUGGGAUGGUCAUUUAGAACUGGCAGACUAGAGUUUUGGAGAGGGGAGUGGAAUUUCAGGUGUAGCGGUGAAAUGCGUAGAUAUCUGGAGGAACAUCAGUGGCGAAGGCGACUCCCUGGCCAAAGACUGACGCUCAUGUGCGAAAGUGUGGGUAGCGAACAGGAUUAGAUACCCUGGUAGUCCACACCGUAAACGCUGUCUACUAGCUGUGUGUGAAUUUAACUCGUGAGUAGCGAAGCUAACGCGCUAAGUAGAC
rnacentral:rRNA from 1 species